UCAACUUGAGAGUUUGAUCCUGGCUCAGAACGAACGCUGGCGGCAGGCCUAACACAUGCAAGUCGAGCGAGACCUUCGGGUCUAGCGGCGGACGGGUUAGUAACGCGUGGGAACGUGCCCUUCUCUGCGGAAUAGCCACUGGAAACGGUGAAUAAUACCGCAUACGCCCUUCGGGGGAAAGAUUUAUCGGAGAAGGAUCGGCCCGCGUUAGAUUAGAUAGUUGGUGGGGUAAUGGCCUACCAAGUCUACGAUCUAUAGCUGGUUUUAGAGGAUGAUCAGCAACACUGGGACUGAGACACGGCCCAGACUCCUACGGGAGGCAGCAGUGGGGAAUCUUAGACAAUGGGCGCAAGCCUGAUCUAGCCAUGCCGCGUGUGUGAUGAAGGUCUUAGGAUCGUAAAGCACUUUCG
rnacentral:rRNA from 1 species